CUUGAGCCAGGGAUGGAGAGGGCAGUGUCUGCACGCUCUGCUGCUGUGGUCAUUCUCAGACAUGGCACCUAAUCUCUCCUCCUUCCCUCUGAGCAGAUGCAGGAACUGGAGCAGAGGCUGCUAGAGGCUGAGGAGAGAGCGGAGAAGGCAGAGACCCAGGUGGGUGUGAUGGAAGAGAAGGUAAAACUGUCCAAUCUUAGGGAUGUGGACUCCACAGGCAGCCUGCCCCAGAAGUACCAAGAAUUGCUGAAAGCCAUGCAGGGCAAAGUAGAGCUCAUCGACCAGCUGGAGGCACAGCUGGAGAAGCAGAAGCAGAUGAGAGCCGAGGAAGCAAAAAUGGUUCAGAAGAAAGCUGCAAAGAUCAAGGAGUGGGUGGCACUAAAGUUAACGGAGGUCAGUCGGAAGCUCCGCUCAGGGGCCUGGCCGGAGGUGUAGCUGGGCUU
rnacentral:lncRNA from 1 species